AACUGCUUUUAUGCGGGUAUAAAGGAGCAUACGUGUAUGUUUUUGCAGUUACCGCAUGAAUAAGGACCGGCUAAUUCCGUGCCAGCAGCCGCGGUAAUACGGAAGGUUCUGGUGUUAUCCGGAUUUAUUGGGUUUAAAGGGAGCGCAGGCUGUCAGAUAAGCGUGUUGUGAAAUGCGGUUGCUCAACAUCCGCACUGCAGCGCGAACUGUCUGACUUGAGUACGCACGACGUUGGUGGAAUUUGCCGUGUAGCGGUGAAAUGCUUAGAUAUGGCGAAGAACUCCGAUUGCGAAGGCAGCUGACGGGAGCGCUACUGACGCUCAUGCUCGAAAGUGCGGGUAUCGAACAGGAUUAGAUACCCUGGUAGUCC
rnacentral:rRNA from 1 species